UUCUUUUGCACUUAUGCGGUCUCUGCCGAUCAUUUCCAGGCUGUGUGGGAGUGUUCCCCCGGAGCACAGCAUGUGAAACCCGGGUUAUCAGCGCUCUAGAGCCGCUGGCGUCCUGUUCUGCGGCGGGGUGGGCAGGCCCUGCUUCCCAAAACGCUCGGCCGGCAUUGACGCAUCAGCGUCCAUUCCCGGUCUUAGAUGGGGCGUCCCCGGCCGAUGCCUCGGGGAACCUGGAAAAGUGGCCGAAGAGGCCAGAGGGGCGGCUGGAAGUCUGCGGCCCGCCCGGACUUCCCUUCGUCCGCGACCGACUCCCCGUCGCCCGCCGAACGAGACCCUCGGGGCCGCUCGCCGAGAGCCGGGGCCGAUGGCGUGCACAGCCGAGGCACCGCUACGGCUCGGAGCGCCGAGCAGCCGCCCCGAGCAGUCCCAGCUGUGUUCCACGCAAACUUCUUGUGCCAUGCAACUCCUGGGAUGGGAGCCACAGGAGAAACAAGAGAUGGCCUUGACUCUCUAGAAAGCAAAGUCACUCGUCUGAUUGGGAUUGUUCACCAUGAAGAUGUAAAACAACUGUACUGCUGGUUCUGCUGUCAGCCCAAUGGAAAGAUAUAUGUAUCAAAAGCAAAAAUUGAUGUUCAUUCUGAUAGAUUUGGAUUCCCUUAUGGUGCAGCAGAUAUAAUUUGUUUGGAACCUGAAAAUUGUGAUCCAACACAUGUAUCAAUUCAUCAGUCUCCACAUGGAAAUAUCAACCAGCUGCCAAGGUUUGAAAUUAAAAACCGCAAGGCUGAGACCUUUUCUGUUGACUUCACUGUGUGCAUUUCUGCCAUGUUUGGAAACUACAACAAUGUCUUGCAGUUUAUACAGAGUAUGGAAAUGUACAAGAUUCUUGGAGUACAGAAAGUGGUGAUCUAUAAGAACAACUGCAGCCAUCUGAUGGAGAAAGUCUUGAAGUUCUAUAUAGAAGAAGGAACUGUUGAGAUAAUUCCCUGGCCAAUAAACUCACACCUCAGGGUUUCUUCUGAAUGGCACUUCAUGGAAGAUGGAACACACAUUGGCUACUAUGGACAAAUUACAGCUCUGAAUGACUGUAUAUACCGUAACAUGGAAAGGAGCAAGUUUGUGGUCCUUAAUGAUGCUGAUGAAAUAAUUCUUCCCCUUAAACACCCAAACUGGAAAACAAUGAUGAACAGUCUUCAGGAACAAAACCCGGGGACUAGCGUUUUCCUCUUUGAGAACCAUAUCUUCCCAGAAACCAUAUCGUCUCGUAUGUUCAAUAUUUCUUCUUGGAAUACUGUGCCAGGUGUUAACAUACUACAACAUGUAUACAGAGAGCCUGACAGGAAAGAUGUAAUCAAUCCCAGGAAAAUGAUAGUUGAUCCACGAAAGGUGAUUCAGACUUCAGUCCAUUCUGUCCUACGUUCUUAUGGGAACAGUGCGAAUGUUCCCAUGGAUGUUGCCCUCAUUUAUCACUGUCGGAAGGCCCUUCAAAGCGACCUUCCCAGAGAAUCUCUCAUCAGGGAUACAACACUGUGGAGAUAUAACUCAUCAUUAAUCAUGAAUGUUAACAAGGUGUUAUCUCAAACCAUGCUGCGAGCUCAAAAGUGAAACCUUGGUUAUAAGGAGUGAAAGUGGAGCACUACCUGUAUUGUGGGAAGACAGAGGAUAUCCUUUAAAGAUCAUAUUAAAUUGAUUUCCCCACGGAGUUUACAUUUUGCUGCAAUUAUUUAGGGAAUCUAUAGCAAAGCCAUGAAUCAUUUAAUGAUAUCACGGAUCAGUGCAGAUUGCAGUAUUUCUUCUGGCAAAUGUACAAUUUGUUUUCAGUUAAAACAAUAAUAAAAAUCAGUAUCUGUCAACUGAUUCAAAUAAUGCAGGGCAGUUUUCAACCUAUGUACAAAAAGCACAAAUACAGUAAUUUGAUUAAAGGUAGCAUUGCUUAAUUCUUGCAGUUUGUAUGUCACUGGGUACCAAAUUUGUAUGCAUCAAUUUGAGUAUAGACAAAUAAUUGAGCACAAUCUUCCUGUAAAAAAAUUACCCCUUAUGUUCUUGGAAAUAGUGUAUGUUAAAGAUGUGAUGGAUAGUAACACUAAACUGUUUAGUAACACUAAAACUGUUGAAGUUUUGCUGAUAAAAAAUGUUUUGUUCAACUGGGCUUUGCAGACAUGUAACAUUGAGGAGCGAUCACACCUGUUAUGAAUUAUUAAAGUGUUAAGUGCUGAGUUGUGUUGGAAAGCUUUUAAUAGAGGCAAGGGAUACAGAUUGAUAUUAAAUAUGAUACUUUUGUGGACUUUAAAGAACCUAUUUCGAGGAGGGAAAAUAGAUGGCCAAACAACUUCCAUGAAACUUAAUAGUUUGUUGGGUUUUUUCCUGGCACCUUGAAGCCUCAUAGGAAAAUGUUUCAUGAAAUUUAGACACAAGUUGGAUUUUAGUCCUUUAUGUGAUGGGUAAGUUAAAUUAUACUGUUUCCUUGAUAGGCGUUAAGGGUAUAGAAGCUGCAUUUUUUCCAACUUCUAUCUGGAAAUACUGCAAAGUAGUGACUUUUGCUGAAGUCGGAUGGAAACCAAAGCAAACCAUAAAAACCAUUUGCUCACUUCUGUUUUCACAGUUUCAGUUUCAUAAUUUCAGUUUCUGUUUGAUAAGCCUCCAGAACUACAUGCAUUGCAUAUGUUGUGGUGAUAUAAUUAGAACCUUCCUACUGAAGGCACAUCUGAAGGCAGCGAUAGCCUGACACUCUGGUGUCUGACAGAGAGAAGAGCAUGUCUGAGCAAGUAUGCUUUUUAAAAUUUCUACAUUAAUGUCAUGCUUUCAUUCAUUUAUCUACUUGGUAGUGGCACAUACCUGUGUUCUUAAGGAGCUCUGUCACUAGUGGAUUAGCAUCAUUAGCAGAUGUCCAAAAAGAACUUUUACUGUGCUUCACAGUGACUGCAGCAUCUCCCAGUCUGUAUCAACAAACUUGCAGCUAUAUUACUAUCUGAAAUGCCUGCUGCUGUCAGUCAUACAAUCUCGUGUAGCAACAGGUCCAUUUAGAAUUUCAGACUCGUUGUUUAAAAGGGGCAUCUGAAAGUCCAAGUCCCUGUUUACAGCAUGGUGUGUUUAGGACUUUGGGAAGGCUGGGCAAGCUGUUCCAGUCUUUAACUUCACUGUGGAGAAUUUCUCUUGUUGUAAGAACACUGACCAUUGCCUUGCUGCAUGAUGCUGCAAUGAGUCUGACAUUGUUUUCUUCAUAGCUUACUAGCUGGAGACAGUAGCAGUGCCUCCCCAUCCCAUGCCCACCACCUUCCCUUUCCCCACUAUUCUUUCUGGAAGGCUCAGCUUGGGUCUCAGUUUCUCAGCCAUCUUGUGCUCCACCUCUCUGUGGACUCUGCAUGAUUAAGGUCACUAAUAAAAGUAGUUAAUCAAGUUUUCCUGUUCUGCUGAUUUGGAAACAAGGACAUUUCUGUCACACCUCUGUUUAAUCUUUCAAAGUUAAUGCAGCGCUGUAUAGGUGGCUCCUUCAGAAGAAGCUGUUACUGCACACAUAACAAUACUGUUACGUUACUCCUACAUUAAGAAUGAUGAGAACUGGGUUUCAAGACAAGUUAUUGAAAACUUUCUUUUUCACGGAAGCUUUUUUCACUUUGUAGUGAGACAACAAAAGCUCGCUUUUGCUAGCUGAUCAUUUACACCCCACACAGUGCAGUUUGAAAUGAGAGUUGUGAAUUUGGCUUCUGGUUGAUAAAAUCCUUGAGUACAGACAAGAUUUUUUCAAAAUAAAUUGGUAUGCAUAAAUGUGGAAAAACUGAGUGCUUAGAAGUCGGGCGUUGUAUUUAAGAGACUGCUCCACUUGUGCCUUCAUGCAACUCCGACAGCAUCACUCAAAUUACUGAUUCUUGCAUAUGAAAACUCCCCUUCAUUGGUAUAAUUCAUACUACAUACAUUUGGGAAUCUUGGCCUUGAUUCAGUAUUAAGUAUGAAAUCAGGUCUCCUUGAAUAGUGUGAAGAAAAAAGUCACACUAAUAAUGCUACUAGAUAGUUUUGUCUUUUCAAGGGGAGCUAGUCUUCAUGAAAACUCAUGUUCUUAAGUUGUGUAAAAAAAAGUGACGGAAGGGAAGGCGCGGGAAGGGAAGGUGCGGGAAGGGAAGGUGCGGGAAGGGAAGGUGCGGGAAGGGAUCAACUUAAAGCAUUUCUAAAGCAUGUGAUGUAACAGCUUUUAAGUACAUGUCAAAUAGCACAGAAGUACAUGGACAAGUAUUUGCUACUCAACAAUUAUCAUCAGAUCAUCAUCAGAUGAUCAAUAAGGCUUUUUUCUACCCUCGUGCUUUCCUUCAGACUCUUGAUUUGUUUUUUCUCCAGACAUGUGGCAUUCUGUCAUUUGCCCCUGCUUUUUAACUCCAGAUGUAGCAACUGUUUUUAAUACAUUAUAUUAACUGCAACUUUUGGAGAAAGUGAGUGGCUGGUAGACAUCAUUUAAUGCAAGAAAGUGACUCUCUGUAAAGACUGAAAAUUGCCUUCCCCUUCAUGUGAACUAAAUUGUGUUUUAACACAAACUCUAGGAAAUAAGGACUAUAAAAUACCAAUCAAGCCAUUCUGAGUUACUGUUAGCAAGGAUGACGAAUAUGUCAGAGGUUCUCCAAGGUUGAUCGCAAUUGCAAGCUCUAUCAGAUAGAUGAAAAGGUGCAUCACUCCUGCUGAGGACAGAUCAUACUGACAUGUUCCUGAACUUACAGCAUCUGAUCCUAUUUAAUUCUUCUGUUUCAAAGGUUUUUAAAGCUACCAUAUGGAAAAACAUUUUGAAGAGAAUGAUUCUGGAG